AAGGGAAUUUCGGUGAGAGAGAGGAGAUUCUAGAAACUAAGUGGGAAGACCUGAGGAGUGCUGAAGAAGAAGAAUAAGGAGAAGUUGGUAAGUACAUGAUUAAUUAUUAGUGAUUAAUGAUUAGAGAUUGCUUUUAAUUACUGUAAGCAGAUAAUAUGGAGAAGAAGGUGGCAGUAGCUUCUUCUAGUUCUCUCUGUACAUGAGAAAUGGAAGCUUUUGUCUGUGGCUGUUUGAACUGGGUUUUUAUAUUGACCGUUUGAUUAUUACAUACUAAUAUUAUCCGGCAGAACUGAUAGGGACAUAUCCACAAAGCGGCGUAGCAUCUCCUCUGGAGUGCCAAGUGGAACUCUCCUUUGUUGCGCUUUCUAGUGACUUCAUGCAAGUCCUACUCCCAGACAUGGAGCGUGCGUGCACCGACAAGAGUUUCACCCUCCGCCGUGAAUGCAUGGUAACGGACUAAUCCGUUUCAAUUCCAAAAUUUGAUAAUCAGUUUCAAUUCAAGUUCGAAACUCAACCCGAACAUAAGAUGUGUCUAUGGUAGUUAUCAUUUUAAUUUGUUGAUUUAAUGUAUGUAUGUGAUAUUAAAUUUUAAAUAAAUAUAGCAUAGUUAAAUGCGUGAAG
rnacentral:lncRNA from 1 species